rnacentral:lncRNA from 1 species
AUCACUAUCAUUCAAUGAAAGAAGCAUAAAAAGGUUACAUCUUCCCCAACAACAAAUGAGUUUAGUUCUCCAUUGUCGUGGAGAACCUUGGUGUAUAAUGGAAGAAUGAAUAUGAGAUGGAAACCCUAGAAAGAGAAAAGGAAAGUGUUACCAAUAAGGGAGUAUUGGUAAAACCUGAAGACAAGUUUUGAUGAUGCUGCAA